UCGGGAAUUUUGGGCAAUGGGCGAAAGCCUGACCCAGCAACGCCGCGUGAGGGAUGAAGUAUUUCGGUAUGUAAAUCUCGAAAGAAUGGGAAGAAUAAAUGACGGUACCAUUUAUAAGCUCCGGCUAACUACGUGCCAGCAGCCGCGGUAAUACGUAGGGAGCAAGCGUUGUUCGGAUUUACUGGGCGUAAAGGGCGCGUAGGCGGCGCGGUAAGUCACUUGUGAAAUCUCUGAGCUUAACUCAGAACGGCCAAGUGACACUGCUGGGCUAGAGUGCGGAAGAGGCAACUGGAAUUCUUGGUGUAGCGGUGAAAUGCGUAGAUAUCAAGAGGAACACCUGAGGCGGAGGCGGGUUGCUGGGCCGACACUGACGCUGAUGCGCGAAAGCCAGGGGAGCAAACG
rnacentral:rRNA from 1 species